CAGACGAACGCUGGCGGCGUGCCUAAUACAUGCAAGUCGAACGAACUCUGGUAUUGAUUGGUGCUUGCAUCAUGAUUUACAUUUGAGUGAGUGGCGAACUGGUGAGUAACACGUGGGAAACCUGCCCAGAAGCGGGGGAUAACACCUGGAAACAGAUGCUAAUACCGCAUAACAACUUGGACCGCAUGGUCCGAGCUUGAAAGAUGGCUUCGGCUAUCACUUUUGGAUGGUCCCGCGGCGUAUUAGCUAGAUGGUGGGGUAACGGCUCACCAUGGCAAUGAUACGUAGCCGACCUGAGAGGGUAAUCGGCCACAUUGGGACUGAGACACGGCCCAAACUCCUACGGGAGGCAGCAGUAGGGAAUCUUCCACAAUGGACGAAAGUCUGAUGGAGCAACGCCGCGUGAGUGAAGAAGGGUUUCGGCUCGUAAAACUCUGUUGUUAAAGAAGAACAUAUCUGAGAGUAACUGUUCAGGUAUUGACGGUAUUUAACCAGAAAGCCACGGCUAACUACGUGCCAGCAGCCGCGGUAAUACGUAGGUGGCAAGCGUUGUCCGGAUUUAUUGGGCGUAAAGCGAGCGCAGGCGGUUUUUUAAGUCUGAUGUGAAAGCCUUCGGCUCAACCGAAGAAGUGCAUCGGAAACUGGGAAACUUGAGUGCAGAAGAGGACAGUGGAACUCCAUGUGUAGCGGUGAAAUGCGUAGAUAUAUGGAAGAACACCAGUGGCGAAGGCGGCUGUCUGGUCUGUAACUGACGCUGAGGCUCGAAAGUAUGGGUAGCAAACAGGAUUAGAUACCCUGGUAGUCCAUACCGUAAACGAUGAAUGCUAAGUGUUGGAGGGUUUCCGCCCUUCAGUGCUGCAGCUAACGCAUUAAGCAUUCCGCCUGGGGAGUACGGCCGCAAGGCUGAAACUCAAAGGAAUUGACGGGGGCCCGCACAAGCGGUGGAGCAUGUGGUUUAAUUCGAAGCUACGCGAAGAACCUUACCAGGUCUUGACAUACUAUGCAAAUCUAAGAGAUUAGACGUUCCCUUCGGGGACAUGGAUACAGGUGGUGCAUGGUUGUCGUCAGCUCGUGUCGUGAGAUGUUGGGUUAAGUCCCGCAACGAGCGCAACCCUUAUUAUCAGUUGCCAGCAUUAAGUUGGGCACUCUGGUGAGACUGCCGGUGACAAACCGGAGGAAGGUGGGGAUGACGUCAAAUCAUCAUGCCCCUUAUGACCUGGGCUACACACGUGCUACAAUGGAUGGUACAACGAGUUGCGAACUCGCGAGAGUAAGCUAAUCUCUUAAAGCCAUUCUCAGUUCGGAUUGUAGGCUGCAACUCGCCUACAUGAAGUCGGAAUCGCUAGUAAUCGCGGAUCAGCAUGCCGCGGUGAAUACGUUCCCGGGCCUUGUACACACCGCCCGUCACACCAUGAGAGUUUGUAACACCCAAAGUCGGUGGGGUAACCUUUUAGGAACCAGCCGCCUAAGGUGGGACAGAUGAUUAGGGUGAAGUCGUAACAAGGUAGCCGUAGGAGAACCUGCGGCUGGAUCCCCCCCCUUU
rnacentral:rRNA from 1 species